UACGAAGGGGGCUAGCGUUGCUCGGAUUUACUGGGCGUAAAGGGCGCGUAGGCGGCGGACACAGUCAGACGUGAAAUUCCUGGGCUCAACCUGGGGGCUGCGUUUGAUACAUGUCUGCUUGAGUUCGGAAGAGGGUCGUGGAAUUCCCAGUGUAGAGGUGAAAUUCGUAGAUAUUGGGAAGAACACCGGUGGCGAAGGCGGCGACCUGGUCCGAUACUGGCGCUGAGGCGCGAAAGCGUGGGGAGCAAACAGG
rnacentral:rRNA from 1 species